UGUUCUUAACCUCUAAGCCAUCUCUCCAGCCCCGUGAUGUGUUUUCUUAAUUGCUAAUUGAUGUAGGACAGUCCAUCCCACUGUUCGUAGUGUCAUCCCAAGGAAGAUUGGCCUGGCUGUAUAAGAAACAUAGCUGAGCAAAUCAGAGUGAGUGAUCCGCUAAUAAUUCCAGUUCAGAUCAUAAACAUUGUGGCCUUGUUAAAGUUAUAGACACAAGGCACAGUCCAGAAACUAGCCAUCUGCCCUGCAUGAAGAAGUUGGUCCUUUAUUACUGACAAGAACACAGAUUCUUCCACUUUAAGGAAUUGGCCCAUCACCCCAUGGGUUGUUCAACUCUGGAUGAAAGGCUUAAUUAAGGAUCUCAAGAGGAAGAUAUCUGCCUGGAUUAUGCAUGCAGGCCCUACCACAUCACAGAAGAAACACAUUGAUGAGCCACAAAAGAGAAUGAAAAUAUUUUUGAUACUAGAAGCUUUUCAUCACACUACUACCCAGAGCUUAAGGAGUAUUCAAUAAAUAUGUGUUAAAGAGGAGGAAGAAAGGGAGAAGGAAGAAAGGAAAGGAGAAAACAAGAUCUGAUUUCAA